UACGUAGGGGGCGAGCGUUGUCCGGAUUUAUUGGGCGUAAAGAGCGUGUAGGCGCCAGGUAGGUCGGUUGUGAAAACUGGAGGCUUAACCUUCAGACGUCGACCGAAACCAUCUGGCUAGAGUCCGGAAGAGGAGAGUGGAAUUCCUGGUGUAGCGGUGAAAUGCGCAGAUAUCAGGAAGAACACCCGUGGCGAAGGCGGCUCUCUGGGACGGUACUGACGCUGAGACGCGAAAGCGUGGGGAGCGAACAGG
rnacentral:rRNA from 1 species